GAGGAAUCAUCAUUUGUAAAAGAAUCAUAAGAUCAGCCGGCGGAGAAACCUUGAAAAAAAAUACAAGAUCAUGUCGUUGCUGAAUGGACAGCCUUUGGUCGCAAAGCUAGCUGCUUUAUCUAAGUUCGUCGUGCUUCCCGGAACCAUGGUUGCUGCUGUUGUUUACUCUCCUCCCAGCUAUGAUUCUUCCAACAAGGACAAAUCCCCCAAAUAAGAACUUCUCUCUAGCUUUUCCCUUGGUAUCUUUAUAGCUAAGGUUUUCAAGCUAUGUUUCUUUACAAUAAUGGGGUUUCACCGACAUUUCUGCAUAUUGUUUCUAGGUAUGUAGAGAGUUGAAUGUAUUUGUUUGGCUAGGAAGAAAAUUUUCUGUUAACAAUUUUUGGUUCUUCUCAGACUUUGUCAGAAGAAUAAGAUAUCAUGUAAUG